rnacentral:siRNA from 1 species
AGGAUCCACAGAAGUUGAUGACAC